rnacentral:rRNA from 1 species
CCUACGGGAGGCUGCAGUGGGGAAUAUUGCACAAUGGGCGCAAGCCUGAUGCAGCCAUGCCGCGUGUGUGAAGAAGGCCUUCGGGUUGUAAAGCACUUUCAGCGGGGAGGAAGGCGUUAAGGUUAAUAACCUUGGCGAUUGACGUUACCCGCAGAAGAAGCACCGGCUAACUCCGUGCCAGCAGCCGCGGUAAUACGGAGGGUGCAAGCGUUAAUCGGAAUUACUGGGCGUAAAGCGCACGCAGGCGGUCUGUCAAGUCGGAUGUGAAAUCCCCGGGCUCAACCUGGGAACUGCAUUCGAAACUGGCAGGCUAGAGUCUUGAAGAGGGGGGUAGAAUUCCAGGUGUAGCGGUGAAAUGCGUAGAGAUCUGGAGGAAUACCGGUGGCGAAGGCGGCCCCCUGGACAAAGACUGACGCUCAGGUGCGAAAGCGUGGGGAGCAAACAGGAUUAGAUACCCCUGUAGUC